UACGAAGGGGGCUAGCGUUGCUCGGAAUCACUGGGCGUAAAGGGCGCGUAGGCGGCCAUUCAAGUCGGGGGUGAAAGCCUGUGGCUCAACCACAGAAUUGCCUUCGAUACUGUUUGGCUUGAGACCGGAAGAGGUCAGUGGAACUGCGAGUGUAGAGGUGAAAUUCGUAGAUAUUCGCAAGAACACCAGUGGCGAAGGCGGCUGACUGGUCCGGUUCUGACGCUGAGGCGCGAAAGCGUGGGGAGCAAACAGG
rnacentral:rRNA from 1 species